GUUUAUUUCACAAGUUAUUGCAGUAAAUGUAACUUAGUACCUACUGUUUUCUGAGAACAAAAAACAUGUACCAAAUUACUACAAAGUGUUUUUAUUUUAUUAAUCAUACUACAAUAGUGUUAAAUGCUAAUUUUCUCUUCUGACUUUUAUUGUAGAAAUUACUUUGAACAAUUUUCCCCUAGUUUUAUUCGAAAUCAUUAAAAGUAGUGUUUAAUUAUUCUCAAAAUAAAUGUGUUUCUUAUGUAUUUCUUUGUAUCUAGACUAGACCCCUGUAAUGCAGAAUCAACCAGUCUCCCAAUCCUGGAGCGGUUUUUCCAACAGUGAAGAUCCAAGACUUCAGAGGGAACAGGAACUCUCCUGCAGUCUUCCUGGACCUCUUUGAUCAGGAUCGGUGACAUCAGCAUCCUCCUGCAAGUGCUGGAGCUGCAUCACACCUCUGUACCUCAUGGAAGUGAACACAUUGCAGCUUUUCAAUAUUCUUUGGAAUAUAUUUAUAUACAUUUAAAUAUUGCAGCCUGUGCCAUCCUCCACGACAUCUGUGCUGACGACACUGUGGCUCCAGAGGAAGAGACAGAAGAAGAUCUGGGAAUGAUGAUGAGGAAGCUGGUUUGGAGUGAUCUCUGGCAGGACCAACUACCUGCUGAGGUUCCUGCCCUGGAGGAGGUGCCACCACACCUUGAUAACUGGUAACAGUUUGGAUCAAUGGUGACAUCAUUUCCAUUUGGCACCAGAAGGACAGUUCAACAAAACCACCACAGCGACGUGAGCUCAACGAGGACCCACAUCACCUGGAUCAGCUGAGGCGGACGGUGGUGGACAUCUUUUAUUUUUAAUUCUACAAGGAAGAGCAGCUCCUGGUUCUCUCAUCACUGUGGAGGACGUGAACGGGCGACGUCUGGAGUCUGGAGCUGUCAUGGGGAUCGGAGAGAACGUUAAGCAGCUGCACACUCUUCAACCCACCAAUAAACUUUAUUUUUAAUUUAAUUUCUUACUGAUUUUAUUUUCAGUAGAUAGAAAUGUACUCUUUAGGAUCAUUUAUUAGGUUCUUUAAAUGUAUAAAAACAGACAGUAUUAUCAUAGAUGAUGCUUUCUAACUAUGACAUGUGUUAAGAGGUCCCUACUUUGAAUAAAGGGAAACUAAUUCUGAAUUUUUAAUGAUGAAUGUUUGUAAUGUUUUGAAUCAUUUAAUCUGCUUCAAAAAUAAAUUUUGUACAGAUCUGA